rnacentral:misc_RNA from 1 species
GAUGAAGAACGUAGCGGAAUGCGAUAAGUAAUGCGAAUUGCAGAAUCCGUGAGUCAUCGAAUCUUUGAACGCACAUUGCGCCCUCUGGUAUUCCGGAGGGCAUGCCUGUUCGAGCGUCAUUAUCACCCCUCAAGCCCGGCUUGUUGUUGGAUGCAGCGCUUAUCCCGCUCCUCCCAAAGAUAAUGACGGCGUCUGCGACGACUCCUGUACACUGAGCUUUCGGGCACGUACACGGCUAGAAGUCCAGACCCGGUCGCCGUCCCCCCCGCGGGGACACCCAUUACCACAAGGUUGACCUCGGAUCAGGUAGGAAUACCCGCUGAACUUAAGCAUAUCAAUAAGCGGAGGA